rnacentral:rRNA from 1 species
AUGGGUCUAGUAGACAUGACAUCUAGUGGGUCCCGCAUAGUUCUCGAGAACUCUUUGGGGGCUUGCAGCCGUUUAUCCACCGGGCAAGCUAGCAACCCCAUGUCGUUCGCACGCCCUACUCGUCCCCGUAUUCUACCUCACAAUAGUUCGCUCCCAGUUGUCCCGUCCUUUCACAUUAGUUCGCUCCCAGUUUUUGCGGGGUACAACAGUUCAACUUCUCCUAAUCCUCCUCCAAAAUCCAUGGCCUCCCAAAUCUCCAUGGUUGCCACUGAGUACCAGGUUAGAGCCAUCACCGGCGAUCAGUUCAUCGUCAUCUACACACAUGGAUCCGCAACGGUGAAAGCAUGGCUUGCUCGCUUCCUACGCAUGUUCAACAGUUCAACGGAUGAGUGGGUCGCUGGGCUAGAUGUUGAGUACACCACAGUCCUGGGACGACAGAAGGAUCUAAAGGACAAAGAGAGGAAGAAGCUAGACGUGAUCCAGGUUUUCGUACAUAACGUUUGCUUGGUCUACCACAUAUGCCAUGCCGAUGUUGAGUGCCAGGAUUUUAAGAACUUCCUCAAGGACAAAAGAUUGAAAUUCCUUAGUAGCUUCUUCAAAUGCAUCAAUCUCCUCUUGAAGCUUGUCCUUGCCUUUUUGCUUGUGGUCUUGUGGUGGAAGAUCAUCUUGAGCUUGUGUUCCUUUGAAAGAAGUAGGAUCGUACUUCUCUUGUUGAGGAACAAACAUCGUCUUGGGGUAUUGAUCUUCUUCCCACUCAACUCCAUUGGCAUUGAACUUUCGUUCAAAACCAACACCUUGAUUCUUCCGGUGCCUUCCUUGCUUGCGUACAAUCUCCUCGAAUUGCUUACUUCCGGCAAGGCUCUUGUAAACACCUUUCUCUAUAAUUCCCUUCAAUAA